CCGGCUGUGGCUCAGUUGGUAGAGCGGGUUGUACUCUACUCACAGGGUUGGGGGUUUGAUCCCCCCAGGCCAGU
rnacentral:tRNA from 1 species